rnacentral:rRNA from 1 species
UACGUAGGGGGCAAGCGUUGUCCGGAUUUAUUGGGCGUAAAGAGCGUGUAGGCGGUUAUACAGGUCUGCUGUGAAAACUCGAGGCUCAACCUCGAGCUGUCGGUGGAAACCGUGUGGCUAGAGUCCGGAAGAGGAGAGUGGAAUUCCCGGUGUAGCGGUGAAAUGCGCAGAUAUCGGGAAGAACACCCGUGGCGAAGGCGGCUCUCUGGGACGGUACUGACGCUGAGACGCGAAAGCGUGGGGAGCGAACAGG